AGAUCGCUUGAGCCCAGGAGUUUGAGACCAUCCUGGACAAGCUUGCAGGCCUCUGGGAAGCAAGCCAUCGUGUGGCAGAGGCCCAGGUGGCAAGGAACCAAGGGCGGCUUCUGGCCAACAGCCAGCGAGGACCUGAGACCGUAGCCCAACACCCCUCCAGGAACUGAAUUUUGCCAGCAACCAGUGAGUGACCUUGGAAGUGGAUCCUUCCCCCGAAAGCCCGGCUUUCAGACGGAGGCUGGUGGGACCUCAACCCCAGCUGGUAUCCAGGCUCUUGACACCAUCUGGAGAAGGAAUUCAAGAGUGUGUCAGAAAAUGAUGAAAGUACAAAGAUUUAUUGCAAAGCGAAAAAUACACACUCAAGAAAGGGGAGUAUGGGUGGACUCAAGACAGAGUCCGAUGGGACUUGGGGUUUCUACCUUUUGGGUUUCUUUUUUUUUUUUUUUUGAUAUGGAGUCUCGCACUGUUGCCCAGGCUGGAGCGCAGUGGCGU
rnacentral:lncRNA from 1 species